UGGGGAUUAGCCAAGCGGUAAGGCACUAGACUUUGACUCUAGCAUUUCCACAGGUUCAAAUCCUGUAUCCCCAG
rnacentral:tRNA from 1 species